rfam:Oryza barthii chromosome 1, whole genome shotgun sequence.
AAAAAUACAAACCCUGAGUUUUCGUGUUCAAUUUUGACUGUUCGUCUUAUAUAAAUUUUUUUUAUAAUUCGUAUUUUUAUUAUUGUUAGAUGAUAAAACAUGAUUAAUAUUUUAUGCGUGACUUGUCUUUUUAAUUUUUUUCAUAAUUUUUUCAAAUAAAACGGACGGUCAAACGUUGGGCACGGAAAUCAGGGUUUGUCUUUUU